rnacentral:rRNA from 1 species
AGCUUUAGGUAAAGAUCUAAAGUUAUACCUGCCCAAUGUGAAAGAAUUAAUGGCCGCGGUACUUUGACCGUGCUAAGGUAGCGCAAUCAAUUGGCUCUUAAUUGGGGUCAGGAAUGAAUGGAGUUUACGUGGUCCAGCUGUCUAUUAGUUAAUAUAUCGAAAUUACUAUAUAAGUGAAAAAGCUUAUUUACUGAGAAAGGACGAGAAGACCCUUAGAGUUUCACUUAAUAUAAAAUAAUUUUUUAUUUUUAUAAUGGUUUAGUUGGGGCAACAUAGGAGCAAUAAUAAAUAAUCUCUUGAAUUAAAUUUAUCGAAUUAUUAAAUUUAAAUAAACUACCUUAGGGAUAACAGCAUAAUUUAAAAAAUAAGUUUGUGACCUCGAUGUUGGAUUAGGAAUCUUAAAGGUUAGCCAUUUUUAAGAAAAGUUCUGUUCGAACUAAUAUUCCU